UCAGCAUGAUCCCGGGGCACGGGCCGGUGAUCCAGUCGGUGCUGGGAACCUUCCUCACCUGGGGGCUGACGGCGGCCGGCUCGGCGCUGGUGUUCGUGUUUUCCAGUGGGCAGAGGCGGAUCCUAGAUGGGAGCUUAGGCUUCGCCGCAGGGGUCAUGCUGGCUGCUUCCUACUGGUCCCUCCUGGCCCCGGCCAUCGACAUGGCCGAGGAGUCCGGUAGCUUCGGAGCCUUCGCUUUCUUCCCGGUGGCCGUGGGCUUUGCUCUGGGAGCAGCUUUCGUGUACUUCGCCGACCUGCUCAUCCCGGCGCUG